rnacentral:rRNA from 1 species
AACAGGAUUAGAUACCCUGGUAGUCCACGCCGUAAACGAUGUCGACUUGGAGGUUGUUCCCUUGAGGAGUGGCUUCCGGAGCUAACGCGUUAAGUCGACCGCCUGGGGAGUACGGCCGCAAGGUUAAAACUCAAAUGAAUUGACGGGGGCCCGCACAAGCGGUGGAGCAUGUGGUUUAAUUCGAUGCAACGCGAAGAACCUUACCUACUCUUGACAUCCAGAGAACUUAGCAGAGAUGCUUUGGUGCCUUCGGGAACUCUGAGACAGGUGCUGCAUGGCUGUCGUCAGCUCGUGUUGUGAAAUGUUGGGUUAAGUCCCGCAACGAGCGCAACCCUUAUCCUUUGUUGCCAGCGAUUCGGUCGGGAACUCAAAGGAGACUGCCGGUGAUAAACCGGAGGAAGGUGGGGAUGACGUCAAGUCAUCAUGGCCCUUACGAGUAGGGCUACACACGUGCUACAAUGGCGCAUACAAAGAGAAGCGACCUCGCGAGAGCAAGCGGACCUCAUAAAGUGCGUCG